GAUGAACGCUGGCGGCGUGCCUAAUACAUGCAAGUCGAGCGGACGGACGAGAUGGGUUCUUCACUGAUGUUAACGGCGGACGUGUUAGUAACACGUGUAUAAGCUACCGAUAGGACUGGAAGAGCUUCGGUUAAUCGUAGCGAAUACCGGAUACUAUUGUAAACCGCAGGGUUCAAAACUUUAAGACGAUCUUGCUGUCACUGGUAGAUGGAUCCGCGCUUGAUUAGCUAGUUGGUAAGGUAACGGCUUACUAAGGCGACGAUGCGUAGCCGACCUGAGAGGGUGAUCGGCCACACUGGGACUGAGACACGGCCCAGACUCCUACGGGAGGCAGCAGUAGGGAAUUUUCCGCAAUGGGCGCAAGCCUGACGGAGCAACGCCGCGUGAGUGAUGAAGGUCUUCGGAUCGUAAAACUCUGUUAUUAGGGACGAAAAUCUGUGUAAGUAAAUGUGAACAUCUUGACGGUACCUAAACAGAAAGCCACGGCUAACUACGUG
rnacentral:rRNA from 1 species